UACGUAGGGUGCAAGCGUUGUCCGGAAUUAUUGGGCGUAAAGAGCUCGUAGGCGGUCUGUCGCGUCGGCUGUGAAAACCUGGGGCUUAACCCCGGGCCUGCAGCCGAUACGGGCAGACUAGAGUUCGGCAGGGGAGACUGGAAUUCCUGGUGUAGCGGUGAAAUGCGCAGAUAUCAGGAGGAACAUCCGUGGCGAAGGCGGCUCUCUGGGACGGUACUGACGCUGAGACGCGAAAGCGUGGGGAGCGAACAGG
rnacentral:rRNA from 1 species